AGAGUUUGAUCCUGGCUCAGGAUGAACGCUGGCGGCGUGCCUAACACAUGCAAGUCGAACGAAGCUUGACGGAUGAUUUCUUCGGAAUGAAACCUGAUAUGACUUAGUGGCGGACGGGUGAGUAACACGUGAGCAACCUGCCUUUCAGAGGGGGAUAACGGCUGGAAACGGUCGCUAAUACCGCAUGACGUGUUCGGAUGGCAUCAUCUGAACAUCAAAGAUUUAUCGCUGAAAGAUGGGCUCGCGUCUGAUUAGAUAGUUGGUGGGGUAACGGCCUACCAAGUCUACGAUCAGUAGCCGGACUGAGAGGUUGAACGGCCACAUUGGGACUGAGAUACGGCCCAGACUCCUACGGGAGGCAGCAGUGGGGAAUAUUGCACAAUGGGGGAAACCCUGAUGCAGCAACGCCGCGUGAAGGAUGACGGUUUUCGGAUUGUAAACUUCUUUUCUUAGUGACGAAGACAGUGACGGUAGCUAAGGAAUAAGCAUCGGCUAACUACGUGCCAGCAGCCGCGGUAAUACGUAGGAUGCAAGCGUUAUCCGGAUUUACUGGGUGUAAAGGGAGCGCAGGCGGGACUGCAAGUUGGAUGUGAAAUACCGUGGCUUAACCACGGAACUGCAUCCAAAACUGUAGUUCUUGAGUGAAGUAGAGGCAAGCGGAAUUCCGAGUGUAGCGGUGAAAUGCGUAGAUAUUCGGAGGAACACCAGUGGCGAAGGCGGCUUGCUGGGCUUUAACUGACGCUGAGGCUCGAAAGUGUGGGGAGCAAACAGGAUUAGAUACCCUGGUAGUCCACACUGUAAACGAUGAUUACUAGGUGUUGGAGGAUUGACCCCUUCAGUGCCGCAGUUAACACAAUAAGUAAUCCACCUGGGGAGUACGACCGCAAGGUUGAAACUCAAAGGAAUUGACGGGGGCCCGCACAAGCAGUGGAUUAUGUGGUUUAAUUCGAAGCAACGCGAAGAACCUUACCAGGUCUUGACAUCCGAU
rnacentral:rRNA from 1 species